GACAGAGGAUGCAAGCGUUAUCCGGAAUGAUUGGGCGUAAAGCGUCUGUAGGUGGCUUUUUAAGUCUGCCGUCAAAUCCCAGGGCUUAACCCUGGACAGGCGGUGGAAACUACCAAGCUGGAGUACGGUAGGGGCAGAGGGAAUUUCCGGUGGAGCGGUGAAAUGCGUAGAGAUCGGAAAGAACACCAACGGCGAAGGCACCCUGCUGGGCCGACACUGACACUGAGAGACGAAAGCUAGGGGAGCAAAUGGG
rnacentral:rRNA from 1 species